GGGGUGGUAAUCGGGAAUCUCGGCCACUAUGGGAGUUUUGGCCCCUGACCUCACUACGAUUAGAAGACAUGAAAAGGAAAAAGCUACUGGUAAAACUAGGGAAACGAGAAGAAGAAGAGAAAGACCACAAGAAAAAGAGGAAGACCCCAACCAAAAACUAAUAGAAAAGCAAGAAAAAUAGAAUGACAGGGAAGGACUAAU
rnacentral:lncRNA from 1 species